GAAACAGCAGGGGAUAAGUCUGUGUGGUGGCAAGUGGUAGAGGAACAGUGUGGGGAAGAGGAUCCUAUCUCUGGCCUAAAGGCCACAUCGGCUGGAGACCUCUGUGGCAUCCUCAUGAUACAUUUCUCCUGGUCCCUGCCUCCUUUCCUGCCUGCUCAUUUCCCACCCAGUUCCUCAUUUUCCACCUAAGUAAAUCCAAAUGUCCCUGCCCUUCCAAAUCUGAUUCAGGACAUACCAUCCUUCAGGCAGGCUUCUACUCUGCUGAUCACCACAUGUUGACCCCUCCAUGUUUCCCUCCCUCCCACAUUUUUGGAGGACGUCAUGUGUAUGCUCAGGACUGUAAUUACAACAGUGGAUGAGUCUUGACCCUACCUUUGAAGGGCACCCCACCAAGUGGGGCAAGGAGACCUGCACAAAGUCGGUCACCACCAGUGGGAAUGGUGAGGAGACAGAAAGGAGGGCUCCAUAAUGUCCCUCAACUCUGUAAGUCUGAGUGGGGUACACAUUCAUGCUUUAGCUUGCUUUUCUUUUUUUUUUGGUACCAGGGAUUGAACUCAGGACCUUGCUCUUGAAAGGCAGGCGUGGUGCCACUGAGCUAAAUCCCCGGCCUAACUUGCUUUUCUUUAGAAUGAAUGCAUUGUUCCAUUUAUUUACAUUUCUUCAUUUCUCUUAAAAUAUCUAUAAUGUAGCUCACAGCCCUUCUCUCUCACUACUGGGAUUAGGUCUGAUUUGCAAGUAGUGUGCCCUGGAGGGAGGGCCACGCUUGGCUCCAGGGGAAGAGACAACUGAUCUGAAGAGUUAACACAGGCAGAGCACCCCUUCCUUGUCAUGAAGAAUUAACUGAGCCAGGGAGCUUUGAGGGCCCUGUCCAUCCUCCCAGGACAGGUUCCUCUCCUACUGGCUCAUGCUUCCAUCCAAAAACAGCACUCAUCAACACUGCUGCUCCCGAGACUGGGCAUGAGGGGCACCAAGACCCUCAGAGGAGGGCACCUAGGUCUGAAAUCCAGGGCCAUGUUCUAGCAUGGUCACUGCUCAGAAAGUCACUCAACGAUGCAGUUUUAGUUCUGUCUUGUCACUCUAUACUGGAAAUACAGAAUGGCAGGAGCCGUGGGCUGGGAACAGACAGCUUGGCUUCCAGUCCCAGUUUUGCCAUUGCCUAGGUGCCUGUGGAUGCUACCUCCCUUGUAGAGCGUUGUUUCUUCCUAACACAAGGCUCUUGGUGCCUCUCCCUGCCUCACUUGGGGCCUGAGUAGAGACCUUCCAAGAGGUGGGAAAGGGCUCAGUGAAGUGAUUAAGGCCAUGUGGGAGUGAGCACUACUACCAGUGUAUGGGGGAUGGGCCAGCAAGCAUUUCCAGAGGGUUCCUUGGUUGUUCAGUCACAAGACAUACAGGCAGCAGGAAGGAUGGAAAUGCCAUGGGAUAGCUGGGAGUGCUACACAGGGGGAGCAAUGGACUGAUGGGUAAUAGCAGACUUUCACUAGUGCUUACUAUGAGUCUGGUGAUGUUUCAAAAGAAGCUAUAAAGGGCUAAGAACAUGUGCAGUCUGUGAGGCAAGUACUAUUAUCAUCCCCACUUCACAGAUGAGGAAACUAUCAGAGAUUAAAGUAACUUGUCCAAGGCCAUGGAAGCCUGGCCAUCCGGCUCCAUGUCUGCAUUUAAACCAUUACGCAAUACUGCCCUGUGUUUUUCAGCGGCCAACCAGCUGGGCUCCUGCCAGUCUUCAUUUGAAGGGCUCUGAGCUUUGUGCUCAGGUGUCAAAUGUCCCAGUAGAGACUGGGAGGACAGAUGCUAGUGCUUGCUUUUGUCAAGUGACCUGGCUUCUCAUACUAGUUCUUCUAGCAAAUUGUUGUGUAACUCUAAACAAAUCUUUGGGUUUGGCUUUCUUGGCUACAGUCAUUUUGGUGUCACAUGAUCUUAGCUUGGGGUUAUCUACAAAUGAAGCAAUAAUUAUAGUAACAUCCAACACAGAUUGAUUGCUUAUUAUGUGCUAAUAAUGUUUAAUAUCUUAUAUCAUUAUCUCAUGAAACCAUAUCCAAUGGGUAAUUCCAUGUAUUUGGGGACAGUUGGGACUUAAACCCAGGCAGCUGAACUCAAAACACUUAAUUUUAAUCCUGUUAUCAUCUUGCCCCUGUAACUGAAAAUCUUUGGAGCCCAUCACCCACCUCAUGAUGACAUCAUAGAGCCCACUAUGAUUCUUUCUCAAGGAUUAUUAACUCUAAUAAUCAAAGUUAACAAAGCUGCUCAAUUUGGGAAAAAUAGCACAGGCUGUGAGGGGAAAAAAAGCUCAUAAUAGAGCUGAUGGAAAAAUUGUAAAAAUGUGCAAACAAUGCCUUGUGAGGCAGCAAGGUCCAGAGGAUCAAAUAACAGAUGGGCAUGCUGUGGAGAACAUGAAGUGGUAAACACACCAGUUGAGGAAGUGGGUACCCACUGUAUGCUAAACCGUUGAGGACCCCAAUGAUCUCAUCAGAUGCUCACCAGAACCCUAAGACACAGGAUUGGAUAGUUUUAUGCUGAGGCAAGAGCACUGAAAUUUCAUGAGGGAGAGGAAACUGUCUAGAGCUAGGAGAAAGCAGAAGUAGAGUUUGGGCCAAGGACUGCAGGGAACAGAGCUUUGCCCACCACAGCCUGCUACACCAACUGCGAUGUGGUGUGGUGGGUGAUAGUGUUACCUCCUCCUGCUGGACAAGAUGAUCCCAAGAAGAGGAAGACCAGAGGGUGUUCUUCAUCGUACCAGCCAUUCUCCUUCCUCCGAAUCGCUGUAGCCAAACACACAAGAUGGGGGGACAGGGAGGGAGGCAGAUAAAUCAAUGACACAAAAGGCAGGAUAAUUAUCACUAAGUAUACAAUAU